CUAUGCUACUGGCUGCAACAGCAUGCUCUGAGUGCAACAGUCACAGUCUGCAAUAAUUGCAAUUGCAGUUGCUGUCCUUGUCUUGUUGUGUAGCACAUAGCCUCCGAAUUAUGAACAAUCUUCGGCGAAUGUGAGGUCACGUGUAUCAUGCCUAUUAUAUUCGCACAUGCAAAUGCGUAAUUGCCUAUCCUCACACUAGGUUUCUAACUUGUUGCUCAUCCGUUAUGACAAUUACGUACCUAUAAUAUCCUCGAAGCAGUGAUCAGUUUAUCAUUCUUUACAAAAACUGAUAAAAAUGUGGCCUUUGUUCUUAUCAGUUUCUCUGCUUUGCGUGGGCAAUCAUUUAUUUAUAUUAGCAGCAGGACCAAGACAAUGCAGAGAUGAAAAUAAUCAGCCUAUUGAUUGGUAUGUUCUCUACAAAUUACCAAAAACUCCAGAAAGCAAUAAUAAGUUAAUAAAAAAGGGUGUGGCUUAUCUUUACAUAACUAGUGAAUCGACUAGUCUCAAUUGGACAUUAUCAAGUAAAGAUAUCAGUGCAACAGAUUCUAUUCCUGGCAAUACAUUAGCUUCUUUAUACGACAAUGAACAAGAAUCUAAAGAAUUAUGGCUUCUUUACAACGAUCAGCCACCCAACAGAAAUACCGGAAGAUAUGGGCAUGCAAAAGGAAUCGUGAAUGUUGACGAUAAAGAGGGUUACUGGUUAAUUCACAGUGUUCCACAUUUCCCCCCAGCACCAAAUGGAGGUAAUGAGCCAAGGCGAAAAGUUUCAACUGACAAUUUGACCAUCCAAAUUCCUGACGGUGCAUAUGAUUAUCCUGAUUCUGGAAAGAACAAUGGACAAAGUUUCUUGUGCAUUUCGUUGAACGGGGAACAAUUUGACCCAAUCGGCCGGCAAUUGAUGUACAAUCAAAUUACAGUCUAUAAAAAUAAUGUCCCGGUUGAUUUAGGGAACAAAUUUUCCGUUCUUGCCGAUGCGGCUAAACAAGUUCGAGUGAAAACUGCCCCUUAUAAUAAUAAAGCGGUGAUUAAGUCCUUGGAUCAAAUGGAAUUUAUUUCUUUUGCGAAGAGUGCAAAAUGGAAUAAAGAUUUGUAUGAUGAUUUUGUGGCUCCUGAUCUUAAAACUGAUUUGUUGACUGAAACUUGGUUAAACGGUCGCGGAAGAUUGCCGUCAGAAUGCAACGGAUCACGUGUUCUAAAUAUUGAAUCUGUUUCUAUCAAACAGGCAGAUAUUACAUUUACCAACAGCCGCGAUCAUUCUAAGUGGGCCGUUGCUAAUGAUAAUAAGAACAAUAGCAAUUGGGUCUGCGUAGGCGAUAUUAACAGAGCAGUAGGAUACUCAAUUCACCCGAGGUGGAGGAACUGUUUGUCUCAAUUUGCUGAGAGUUUGGAAAAACUAUCGGGAUUCUGUAGCUGGAAUUGAACCGUGUCCAAAACAAUCUGUUUCGCUUUAUCAAAAGAUAAAAAAUUGGUUUGGAUAACCAAGACUGCGGACAUUAAACUUGUUCGACUUUGUAGAUCUCAGUUGUGACCACAUCUGCAAUACAAUACUUAUAUUAAGAUUAUAAUUAUUUACAGUUGAUAUUUUAUCAGAUAUUCGUAUAUUAUUUUAUAGUUGUAUUUUUGUACUUAGUGUGAUAAACACUGAAUAAACUUUUCAAAUUUUGUAAA